GUCCAGUGCAGACAGGCAUGCCCCAACCAUCUCUGGGUGAGCGCCUCUUUGAGUGCCUCACUCUCUAGCACAACAAGAAGG
rnacentral:pre_miRNA from 1 species